UCAAAUUUUGAAAUACUUGAUCCCAACGGACUUGAUUUGCUUGUAGUAUCGUUUCAUAAUUGCCCCCAAAAUGUGAUUUUGGAAUGUGGGUAUGUUCGUUUUGGUUGAAUUUGCAGUGGUAAAUACAUUGAUUUUGAAAAUGUAGGGUUAUUUCUGCUAGCUUUAAACUUGUCUUCAUUAUAUGUGAUAUUUCGUGUUGAUAAAGUGAAAGAAAAGUAUGCUGAUGGGUAUAGCAUUGGAGUGAGCUAAUCUAAUUGGGGUUAGGACAUAACUAUAUGUCUUGAUUUUUGAUAAUAUUAUGUUUGUUUUCUUUUGGUUGGUGGGUGGUGGUGGGAGGAAGGUUAACAGCAAUUUAUGAAAUGGAAGAUCAGAAAAUUUUGUUGAAACAGAAGGGGUAUCUGUGUUUAUGUGUGAGUUUCAGUGCUUAAAUUGUUUUUGUAUAAGGAAAGAAUGUUAAUCACAUGAGAUUCCUGCAAUUUCAUUAGCUAGUAUCAAGUUUCUGUUUGGAUGCAGCUAAUUGUGUCUAGUAUGAUGCUGUGGAGAGAAUGCCAGACGUCUCCUCCUCCUAAACUCGCAACUGAGUGGAGAAGUGUUCGAUUGUAUUCAAUUUCGUGAGUCAUAUACCUCAUUCACAACAAUGUGCAGUUUGCUACAUUGACAUGUUUAUGCUCUACAAUUAGCAGACUUUUUGAGGAAGAAGCUUUCUAAUUCGCUGUGGAUGGCUAUCGUUCUAUUGGCUAUUGGAACAACGACAAGCCAGGUCCAGCUGGAUUUUACUUACUCUUCUACUUUAAUGUGAACAACAAUGACAAAUGUGACUCAUCAUGAACCUUAAAAAAUGUACUCCAUUAAGGGUAUAAGGUGGUGGUGGUGGUUCGGAUUUUCAUAUUAUGAUCGAAGACUUCUCUCUAAAAUGAACAUUGGUUGAACUUUUGAGAGUUGGAUGGCGAUGCUUGGUUGUGAGGACUCGUAGAAUAAUCAAAGCUAUACCUGAUUAUAGUAACACGCAAGCUCUUGUUAUUGGGAGUUGUAUGAUCAUUGUCCUCGCUCGUAGCAAAAUUUGUCAAAGGUUGUGGAGAAACUUCUCGUGAGUCGCUCUUCUCAUCUCCAAUUCAAAGGAUACACGCUGAAUGUAUUAUGUAUUAUCUGCUCGUGUCUCUGCAUUGGCUGGUGUUUACACUGAAUUCUUGAUGAAAAAGAACACGUGUAUAUGGCCAUGUACAUUUUCCAUUUCAAGCCAACUCUUCAGCGUGCAGCUCGUUUUGGGAACCAUUAUCUGCAUGAUGUCACUGCACAUGUAUCUGACGCCAAAAGCAUCACCUGAAAGUCUAGACGAAGUUUCUAUUGAUCGAAGAACAUCUUCCUAGAGCCCAACUUCAAGUGAGCCUCAGUCCAUUCUUUUUCAAGGAAUAUUUUCCCAAUCCUCGGAAGCUGGAAGAUGUAGAAUCACGAAGUGUAGAAACAUGGAACUAAGACAAAAUCACCAAAGGAUUCUUACAAGAGUGAGUUAGUUAGUUAGUUGUAUGAAAAUAUGAAAAUCUUGUUGAGUAUAUGGAUGUGAAAGUUCUUGCUGUCUGAGUUCAGCUUUAUAGGCGUCGUGUGGUUUCUAGACUCAAGUAGUCGAACCAUUUAAGAUCGUUCGUUCCAAGCCUAUAUCGGUGUUGCAGCCACACCUAAUCUUGUUCUAUACUACUUUGGAACAUUUGGUAGUUGUUAUACAAAUCUGUGUGUGUGUGUGAGAGAGUAAUUUCUCCGGCAAACGCCACCACCGGUGGGGGCGGCCACAACCACAGACAACAAGAGCUGUGCCACCAUGUGAGGACUGCCAGGUACAACUAACUCCACUGCAAAUUGCUGCUGCAUUAUGAAUGGCCUCCACAGAUUGUGUGGUGCUUAAUUUUGUUGAAUACUUAUAAUUAUAAAGAAGCAAGUACACAUAUAUGCCUUACAUUCAAGGGCACUCUCAUCAAA